UACGGAGGGGACUAGCGUUGUUCGGAAUUACUGGGCGUAAAGCGCACGUAGGCGGAUUUGUAAGUCAGGGGUGAAAUCCCGGGGCUCAACCUCGGAACUGCCUUUGAUACUGCAAAUCUCGAGUCCGGAAGAGGUGAGUGGAAUUCCUAGUGUAGAGGUGAAAUUCGUAGAUAUUAGGAAGAACACCAGUGGCGAAGGCGGCUCACUGGUCCGGUACUGACGCUGAGGU
rnacentral:rRNA from 1 species